UGCGGCUGAAGAGCGCUACGACUCCGAGUUCUUCAAGACGUUCCGCAGCCAGAACAUCAUCGCAUCCGCCCUGACCUCCGCCAGGGAGAGCAAUGUCCAAGCUCUGGAUAUCCUGUUCACCUACCAUGGAGCUGAGCUGCUGAAACACAGGCUGGCCAUCAUCAACAACUUCCCAGAAACCACGUCUCCCCACGAGUAUACCAGGCUACUGCCCGAGGCCUGGUGAGACGAGAGUGACACAACACGCACGCACACAUGCACGUGCACACACACACACACACACACACACACACACACACACACACACACACACACACACACACACACACACACACACACACACACACACACACACACACACACACACACACACACACACACACACACACACACACACACACACACACACACACACAAA